UUUCCGUUGGUGAACCAGCGGAGGGAUCAUUAUCUAGUUUAUAACUCCCAAACUCUAUGUAAACUUACCACUUGUUGCAUCGGCGCGCGCCUCGGUGCAGCCGAGGACACUUAAACUCUUUGUUUUUAUAAGCAUUUCUGAGUGGCCGAAAAGCAAAAUACAAAGGAAUCAAAACUUUCAACAACGGAUCUCUUGGUUCUG
rnacentral:misc_RNA from 1 species